GAUGAACGCUAGCGGCAGGCCUACACAUGCAAGUCGAGGGAGGAGCUUUCGGGCUUCGACCGGCGUACGGGUGCGUAACGCGUAUACAAUCUGCCUUUCACAUAGGGAUAGCCCGAAGAAAUUUGGAUUAAUACCUAAUGGUAUAUAGGAGUGGCAUCACCUUUAUAUUAAAGCUGAGGCGGUGAAAGAUGAGUAUGCGUUCUAUUAGCUAGUUGGAGAGGUAACGGCUCCCCAAGGCGACGAUAGAUAGGGGUUCUGAGAGGGAUAUCCCCCACACUGGUACUGAGAUACGGACCAGACUCCUACGGGAGGCAGCAGUGAGGAAUAUUGGACAAUGGUCGGAAGACUGAUCCAGCCAUGCCGCGUGCAGGAAGACGGCCUUAUGGGUUGUAAACUGCUUUUGCAGGGGAAGAAUAAGGAGUACGUGUACUUUGAUGACGGUACUCUGCGAAUAAGCAUCGGCUAACUCCGUG
rnacentral:rRNA from 1 species